GGGCGCCCGGCGCGUGGCGCGGCCCGGCCCCCUCAUCCCCGCCACGGGCCCCCGAGGUGGGUCUUACGACGUGAAAACUGGAGCUCCGAGCCGUUAAGGCGAGUGGUUGGCCGCGGCUCGGCCGAUCCCGGAGCUGAGAACCGGGCCUUCGACUCCGAGGAUCUGCGCUGGGAAUCCGCGCCUCGGCCUGCGAGGCCUCGGUCCUAAAUCCCAUCAGCCACUCAGGCCCGCAGAGGCCAUCUCGUUGCUGUGGAUUUAAUCAGAUUACUUCCAGGGUAAAACUCAACAGAUUCCAUCAGGUCGCCUGGAAAUGUAGGCUCCAGACCAAAUGUGAGACUUAAAUUCACAACCUUGAGAUCAAAGUCCCAUGCUCUACUGACUGAGCCGGUCAGGCAGGCGCCCUUCUACUAAGACUUUUAAUUGAGAUUCAGGAAGUGAAUGAAAUCAAGGAUUUUUUUUUUUUUUUUAGAGAAGGGGAAAGUCUGCAAGCAGGGAAAAGGGCAGAGGGAGAGAGAGAAUCUCAAUCAGACUUCUGUGCUGAGAAGAUCACAGAGGGGAAGUGCCCUAUCAGAGGUACACGAUUUUAUUUGAGAAGGAGAGAGAUAGCAAGAGAGAGCACACCAGCAAGGAGGAGAGGGAGAAGCAGAUUCCCACUGAGCUGGGAGCCAGAGGUGAGGCUGGAUCCCCAGCACCUGGGACCAUGACCUGAGCCAAAGGCAGAUACUUAACCGGCCACGCCACCCAGGUGCCCCAAAGAUGCACUAUUUUAAGUAGAUGCCUGCAAAGAGAACAACUAUCUUUCCUGUAAAGCCUAAACAAGCCAUACUGCUUUUUUGAAAAAAAAAAUUACAGUUUUGGUGCCCUGAGUCCACUACCUGGAACAUAAUAUCUCUGCAUGGGAAUAAUAUCUCUAUAAGAGCCAAGAAACAGCUAUUUUCGAGAAUUCCAGACAUACUACAAUUUCACAGAUGUACUCUUUACUGGGGCCUUAUCUCAACCCAGCUCCCCUAAUAGGGAAAGUGGACAACAAGAUGUGCUACCUGAAGUUCUACCCACUAGAAGGAAUUUUCUUCUCUACAGAAUAUAAUAUAAUGGCGCAUACAGUAUAACAGUAUAAUUUUCACCACUGCCAGUCUCCUGUGCUGUAGCCUAUAAAGGCUAAAAGCUUUCUCUCUUAGCUCACUGAUCAUAGGAAGCUCUCCGUGAGGUCCUAGGCAUAGGCUGAGCAUGGAUGACACAUGAUAGGAGUAGACAUACUGGGAAUGGAAGCAGCUCAUGUGGCUUACUUAUAUAGUUAGACUUGAGCCUGGUCUUAGAAGUAUCACUUGUAAUUAAUGGGUGAUGUGCACUCUAUUUUAUGGUUUGGGAUCAGUUUGGGCUGUGGAGUCACCAAGUAUUUCAUGGCUGAGUGUUUUUAUACCGUCCUGGAGUUCAGUAGCUUCUCAAAAGAGCCAUUUGCUGAAGAAAUGCUUUCUCAAUGAUACUCUAUUAGGGCAAAGCUAGCUUCACCUGGCAAUUUCAAAUGCUUAUCCUGCUGGCCUUAAUGUACAUAUGUUUCUAUCAUACCAGUGUAUCUCAAACCAGAGAGCCCUCAUCUUUGCUUUGCUCUAACUGGUCAAAUAAGAGAUUAUUUUAUACCUCAAAUUUUCUCCCACUUGCUCCUCCUACCUACUGAUUAAAAAAAAAAAUGAGGAAGAAAUAAAGUAUGGAGAGUUAGAGAGCCCUUUGGGAAAUUUUCCUAUAUUGGGCUCUGGAUCCCAUAAAACUGCCAUAUAAGUAUUUAUCCUUCUCAUGGGAAGCAUAUGGGAUUAACAGACUGUGACAAUGGUCUUUUAUUUUUCCAUAAUAUUUUAACUUCUAUCUGUUAAAAGCCUUUCAAGACCAAAGAAAGCAACUUAAAGAAAGCAAUUUAUAUUAUAAAACUUUUAUUCGAUCUAACACUUUAUCUUGCUCUUUUGAGUUCAAUGGCUUCACCAGGGGAGAUGUGAGUGAGGGAAUUCAUACCUUUUUAUUAUGGAAAGUUUCAAACAUACAUAGAGAGAAUGGAAUCUUAAGCCUCUAUACACCCAUCGCCCAGCUUCAGUGAUUAUCAACACUCUGUUCCUCUUAUUUAUAUUUUGUCCUUCCCACCACGAGUUUUUUUUCUUUUGCUAGAGUAUUUUAAAACAAUCCAAGACAUCAUAUCAUUUCACUUGUAAAUACUUCAAUAAAAAUCUCUUAACACAUACAAAUUUUAUAGCCAUAACAUAACCAUAACUUUAUUAUCAUACCCAGCAAAAUUAAUAAUUCCUAAUUCAUCUAAAAAUCAGUCAGUGUUCAGUUUUCCCCAGUUGUCUCAAAAUGCCUUUUUAUAGUUGGCUGAUUUAAAUCAAGAUCUAAACAUAAUCUACAUAUUGCAUUUGGUUGGUAGGUAUCUUUAGCCUCUUUCUCUUUUAAAAAAGUUAAAUACA